AUAUUAGGGUUAGGGCCAAGAUCAAGCUUGUGCAGGUGUGAACGUGGAGGAGAGCAGAGUGGGGGCGAGCCACUAGACUGAGCAGGUCAA